UGCCCUUGGGCUGGGAAGCAAACCGCGUCCAGCCUGGGUGACAGCCGGACGGAUCCUGCGCUCUAACGUCGCGGCUGUUGCCCAAGCGUUGGGGUUCUGGUCCUGUCUAUGCCUCCGACC
rnacentral:precursor_RNA from 13 species